rnacentral:misc_RNA from 1 species
UGAUAGGCGAAAGUACAAGGUCUUAUUGGAUGAGGUUGGCAGUACGCGGUGAGAAAGUGGUUUUGUUACGGAAUCUCCGCUUAUGUAAAACAGACAACAACAACAACAACAUCAACAACAACAGAAACUCCCCCGAAAAGGCUAAAGAAACAAGGACAGACAGCACACCACGAAAAUUCCAACUGCAAACUUGUCCAUUCCACUUAUGGCUGUGUAAUAUUGUGGGGGAAAAUGUCCUUUAAGACAAAAUGAAAAAAAGAAAAAGAAGUCUAGUUGGUGUCGUUUCCGGACUGUUGUAAAGCUAAGCUGUGUAGUACUACGACGGUGCGAUUGUGUGCAGUAAGAGAUCAGACACUGCCUUACAUAUUUAGAUGGACUUGUAUCUCUCUUCUUCUCUCUCCCAGUCGGCUGCAGUUUAGACACAAAAACCCUCCUCUCAGCCACCACUGUCAUCAUAUGUUCUCUUUUUAAAGAUUUCGACAGAGGAACGAAACAUUAAAGAAAGAAAUAGAGAAAAAACAGCGCAAAACAAAGGAGAUCAAGUAAAAACAAAAAAACAAACCCAUCCAGGUGGAAAUAGAGAGAUUUAAGAGGAGGAGAAAAGAGGAGGAAGAAGAAAACCAUGGAUACGUUCCAUUAAUGAAGGCAUCAAAUGAUCAGAGACCUGUAUGAAAAUGGGACUGCUAGAAACACAAAGUGUCUGGGGAUAAAC